CAGAGCCUGCGAGCGCCAGCCGAGAUCGCAGCCCAGAUCCAUGGCCGGGUCUCCUAGCCGCGCCGCGGGCCGGCGACUGCAGCUUCCCCUGCCGUGCCUCUUCCUCCAGGGCGCCACUGCCGUCCUCUUUGCUGUCUUUGUCCGCUACAACCACAAAACCGACGCUGCCCUCUGGCACCGGGGCAACCACAGUAAAGCGGACAAUGAAUUUUACUUUCGCUACCCAAAUGGAGUUUCACUCUUGUUGCCCAGGCUGGAGUGCAAUGGCACGAUCUCAGCUCACCACAACCUCUACCUCCCAGGUUCAAGCAAUUCUCCUGCCUCAGCCUCCUGAGUAGCUGGGAUUACAGGCUUCCAGGACGUGCAUGCCAUGGUCUUCGUGGGCUUUGGCUUCCUCAUGGUCUUCCUGCAGUGUUACGGCUUCAGCAGCGUGGGCUUCACCUUCUUCCUGGCCGCCUUUGCCCUGCAGUGGUCCACACUGGUCCAGGGCUUUCUCCACUCCUUCCACGGUGGCCACAUCCAUGUUGGCGUGGAGAGCAUGAUCAGCGCUGACUUUUGUGCGGGGACCGUGCUCAUCUCCUUUGGUGCCGUCCUGGGCAAGACCGGGCCUGCACAGCUGCUGCUCAUGGCCCUGCUGGAGGGGGUGCUGUUUGGCAUCAAUGAGUUUGUGCUCCUUCAUCUCCUGGGGGUGAGAGAUGCCAGAGGCUCCAUGACUAUCCACACCUUUGGUGCCUACUUCAGGCUCGUCCUUUCAUGGGUUCUGUACAGGCCCCAGCUGGAGAAAAGCAAGCACCGCCAGGGCUCCGUCUACCAUUCAGACCUCUUCGCCAUGAUUGGGACCAUCUUCCUGUGGAUUUUCUGGCCUAGCUUCAAUGCUGCACUCACAGCGCUGGGGGCUGGGCAGCAUCGGACGGCCCUCAACACAUACUACUCCCUGGCUGCCAGCACCCUCGGCACCUUUGCCUUGUCAGCCCUUGUAGGGGAAGAUGGGAGGCUUGACAUGGUCCACAUCCAAAAUGCAGCGCUGGCCAGAGGGGUUGUGGUGGGGACCUCAAGUGAAACGAUGCUGACACCCUUUGGGGCUCUGGCAGCUGGCUUCUUGGCUGGGACUGUCUCCACGCUGGGGUACAAGUUCUUCAUGCCCGUCCUUGAAUCGAAAUUCAAAGUCCAAGACACAUGUGGAGUCCACAACCUCCAUGGGAUGCCGGGGGUCCUGGGGGCCCUCCUGGGGGUCCUUGUGGCUGGGCUUGCCACCCAUGAAGCUUAUGGAGAUGGCCUGGAGAGUGUGUUUCCACUCAUAGCCGAGGGCCAGCACAGUGCCACAUCACAGGCCAUGCACCAGCUCUUUGGGCUGUUUGUCACACUGAUGUUUGCCUCUGUGGGUGGGGGCCUCGGAGGCAUCAUAUUGGUCUUAUGCCUCCUAGACCCCUGUGCCCUGUGGCACUGGGCGGCACCCUCCUCCAUGGUGGGGGGCAGAGAAGCCUCACAGAUCCUCCCCUACCACCACCAGGGCUCCUGCUGAAGCUACCCUUUCUGGACUGCCCCCCAGACUCCCAGUGCUAUGAGGACCAAGUUCACUGGCAGGUGCCUGGUGAGCAUGAGGAUAAAGCCCAGAGACCUCUGAGAGUGGAGGAGGCAGACACUCAGGCCUAACCCACUGCCGGCCCCUGAGAGGACACACUCCUUUUUGAAGAUGCUGACUGGCUGCUACUAGGAAGUUCUUUUUGAGCUCCCAUUUCUCCAGCUGCAAGAAGGGAGCCAUGAGCCAGAAGGAGGCCCCUUUCCACAGGCAGCGUCUCCACAGGGAGAGGGGCAGCAGGAGGCUGGGAGAUGGUGGGGAGUGGGGCCAUAACUGGGUACGGUAGGGGGAACCUCACCAGAUGCCUGACCUGACUGCCCUACCAGCCUGCACAUGGGUAGAAGAGGCCAAAUUGAGGCACCCAAGUGAUCCACUGGCCCCACGUCACACAGUUACAGUGAAGCCCAAGCCAGGCCUGGUUGAGGGUGAUAAACACCACCGUCUCUAA